UUUUAGCUGAAGUCUCAUGGUACACUGUUGCUUAGAGAGGUUUGUACAGGAAUCUUGUUCUUUCCAAAGGCAGGAUAUGAGGCUUUGCAGUAGCUAUUGAUUUACGCCGAUGAGCCUUGGAAACUACACUGAUGCAAGAAAUAGGAAAACAACCAAGUAGGCAGAGAAAAGGCAAGAGAUUACUCAAAGCUUAUUGAGGUUAACGAAGGAACUCCCAGCGAUUUCACAGGUCUCCUAAUCAGGCCUCCAAGAAGAGAGAAAGCAUGUACCACUAUCUUCCCAACAGCUAGCGCACUGCUGUCUGCUUUUCCUAAAACCUGCCCUCCAGCCUCUGCCACGGGUUCUGCACAUACACAGGGGACUUGGCCGUGCACAGCUUUCCAUCUGGAAGCCCUCAUGUACACCAGAGUCUCCUUUCACAAAAUAGAACAAAUAAUCUUCUGGAGGAG
rnacentral:lncRNA from 1 species